AACAGAUCAGAGAGAACCUUUGAAGUUGGGGAUAUGGUAUACCUUACGAUUCAACCAUAUAGAACUUCAUUGAGUGUCCACAUGCAUUUAAAAUUGCAUUCCAAAUACUACAACCCUUUCAGAGUAAUAGAAAACGUGGGAAAGGUUGCUUAUAAAGUGCUGCUGCCUGAAGACUGCAAGUUACAUGAUACCUUUCAUGUUAGUAAAUUAAAGAAGCACUUGGGGCCUAAUGUUGUUCCCAACCCCCAACUCCCACUACUUAAUCCUGAUGGGACAGUCCUGUUGGAGCUUGAGAAACUGAUGGACAAAAAAUUAGUUCCCCACAAGCAAGGAGAUAUUGCUAUUCCAGUUGUCCGUUGGCUCAUAAAAUGGAGGAAUCUACCAUAA
rnacentral:rRNA from 1 species